rnacentral:rRNA from 1 species
UAAGGAAUAUUGGUCAAUGGACGAAAGUCUGAACCAGCCAUGCCGCGUGGAGGAUGAAGGCCCCCUGGGUUGUAAACUUCUCUUAUAGGGGACGAAAAAGGGUCUUUCUAGAUCAACUGACGGUACCCUAGGAAUAAGCACCGGCUAACUCCGUGCCAGCAGCCGCGGUAAUACGGAGGGUGCAAGCGUUAUCCGGAUUCACUGGGUUUAAAGGGUGCGUAGGUGGGUUAGUAAGUCAGUGGUGAAAUCUUCGAGCUUAACUCGGAAACUGCCAUUGAUACUAUUAGUCGUGAAUAUUGUGGAGGUUAGCGGAAUAUGUCAUGUAGCGGUGAAAUGCUUAGAUAUGACGUAGAACACCAAUUGCGAAGGCAGCUGGCUACACAUAUAUUGACACUGAGGCACGAAAGCGUGGGGAUCAAAC